UACAGAGGGUGCAAGCGUUAAUCGGAAUUACUGGGCGUAAGGCGCACGUAGGUGGAUAUUUAAGUCGGAAGUGAAAGCCCUGGGCUUAACCUGGGAAUUGCCUCCGAUACUGGAUAUCUAGAGUAUGGUAGAGGACAGUGGAAUUUCCGGUGUAGCGGUGAAAUGCGUAGAUAUCGGAAGGAACACCAGUGGCGAAGGCGGCUAUCUGGACCAAUACUGACACUUAGGUGCGAAAGCGUGGGGGGCAAACAGG
rnacentral:rRNA from 1 species